GCAUCCGCCAUUUUGAAGUGUCGGCUUUGCAAUGGAUUUUCCCAUCUUCGCUGGUGAAUCCGACAAUCUAGAGGAAGGCAUCAAAAGAAGGCUUUUGAAUGCUUUGGAAACAAUUUCUCCAAGAAGCAGAUGAAUUUACUUACAAACUAAUCCCCCAAAGCAGUUAUUAGGGCUGGCAUCCAAACAUUCUUGAGCCAUGGAAACCAAAAGUGGAAUGUUUUGCUUAACACCUACUUUGAACAGAAUUUUACCAAGGGAAAAAAUAUCACUGGCUUUUCUACAGGGAGAACCAUUAAGAACCUCAGGAGCAAUAUGAGGAUAACAGAUGCUGUACUUCUUUGCAGGAGGAAAGGAGCUGUCACAUGCUUUUCCAAAAUCGAUGAAGUAGCCAUGUUUGUUACUCACAAGAACAUUAUUAGCCUUCAAAUCACAGUGAAGAAAGCCUUUUGUGUGACUAUGUGAAAGGGCUUCUGUCAAAUCAUGUGAAAUAAUUAACCAGUCAUUUGUUAUGAGUGAGCUUUGCACAUUCUGUAUUGUUGCACUGUUUUUCUGACAAGACAAUAGUUUGCUUAUUGUUACAGAUGUAUUGUCUUCCCUUUAAACUCCAUUAUUAAGGAAAUGGGCUGCUUUUUAAGCUGCACACCCAUUAUGGUUGGGAUAUUUUUAUGUGCGAGUGCCUGCAUAAUGCGAGCCUCCUUCAUUAUCUCUGUGGUGUCCUGCAUCAGAGAUUGUUUUUCCACAACCUUUAUAUCAAAUCGUGUGUACUGUCUCAGAAGGCAUCGACCAUAGGAUCCUUCUCCCAGUAUUAUAUUCUCUCCAUUGGUUGGAAUAAGUUCAGUAUGAUUGAUUAAGUUUACAGUGGAAUAUUUGGUACCUGCAUUCAUUUUAAAAAACUGGAAAAUGAAGGAAAAUAUAUUAUAGAGUGUGCUUAAAUAAAUGCUAGAUUGCAACACAAGUAAAGGUGAAGAUUGUUGAUCUCCUUGUCUGGCAUGCAAAUUACUGCAAAGUAACUAGAAACAUUACUCCUCCUCCAGAUAGACUUGACAUUAGCAUUGGAUUUUAUUUUUUUCUUGGCGUGCUCUCUCUCGACGCUGCCGCUUUUUCUCAAUUGCGUCUCUCUUAUUUUGGAGCUGAAGUUCCUUCACUUUUGUUUGUGCUUCAGCAAAGCUUACUUUAAAUAUUUUCUCAAAGUGGCCAUUCACUUUUGAAUAAAUGUGUUUU